UCAAACAGAAGGGAAAACAAAUAAAAUGUAAAUGCUCGUGGUGACCAAGGAAACCCUUAGCAGAAUGAAAAUGCAUUUGGUUGGGUUAUCGUGCUGGAGCCCUUAAAGAAUAUCGCCCAUAAAAGACUAGCCGUUGAGAGAAUGAUAACGGCAAAGAAAAUUCAAAUGGGAGCGUGAAAAAUCAUUUGAAUUUCAAUAUAAAUCGUGCACGCUGGUCUGUCUGUCUUUUUUUUGGUAUUACACUUUUCUGGCAGAGCAGGGGAAAGGUAGAGCAGAGGAAGAGGCAGAGCAACCGAGGGCAAAUUCUUCUUCCAGGACUAAUGAAGUGAGAUUCCAAUGCACGCAUGAGAUAUGCAGAACCCAGCAAGUGUUCAUAUAACUGAUGCAGAGAGGAAGAAAUGGGAAGUUCCUUAUGACCUGCUUCGUUUAUAGCAAGUAGCUACUCUAGAAGGAAACCAUAUUUUCAAAACAGCUAACCCAGUGUUUGAAUUCUCUGUGUUCUCAGGCAAUGAGUUGAUCUUCUCCUACAUAGCUAACCCAUUUGGAUUUGCUAUCAAGUGCAGAUCCCAUGGAGAGGUUCUGUUCAACUCUUCAUACGGUAGCUUGGUUUUCAGUAUCCGGUGAGCAGAUACAAAAUUGUUGAGGACUUGGAUGCGCUAUCUGUACCAUGACUGUAAUCCUGUGGUUGUGCAUGGAGAUGUGCACCAAUGUACUAACGGACAACCACAUGUAAGCUCGGAUUUCUGAUUUUGCUUAGCCAGACUCAUGCAGAGGGAAGCCACCAUGUGUUCUAGCGCGUACAUUGCACCAGGGUGGCAACCAUGUUGCAGUCUGAUAAGAAGGAUCCUAAGCAGCUUUUUGAAUUAGUUGUUUUUCAUCUUGGUGUAUUCAAAACAACAAGAGAUGGAAUUAGGCUUGCAUCAUUUCUUUAGUUACGUUUUGGUGAAGCAUUUUGACUUGAUAGCCUUGUAACAUGUACAAAUAUAAUGUUUAAUAAAAAAUUAUUGGAUUUGAAGGGGUUAAAACCUCCUUCUAAAGACUGAGGGGAAUAGUCACUGGCCAUGGUUAUUCCUUGAAGUCGUGUUUUCUGACAGCUUAAAGAAUGGUCAAUAGGCCAAAGCCAUUCUUUAA